rnacentral:ncRNA from 1 species
ACCAAGGAGUCUAACAUGUGCGCGAGCCGCGGGGCAGUACGAAACCCGUAAGGCGAAAUGAAGGUGAACGCCGGCGCGGUCCGGCGGAGGUUGGAUCCCGUCCCGUCGGGGCGGGCGCACUACCGGCCGAUCUUCUCCGCCCUGUCGGCGAGGUCGAGCGAGAGCGUGCAAGUCGGGACCCGAAAGAUGGUGAACUAUGCCUGAGGAGGUUGAAGCCAGAGGAAACUCUGGUGGAGGACCGUAGCGAUUCUGACGUGCAAAUCGAUCGUCAAAUUUGGGUAUAGGGGCGAAAGACUAAUCGAACCGUCUAGUAGCUGGUUCCCUUCGAAGUUUCCCUCACGAUAGCUGGCGCUCUGUCGCAGUUUUAUCUGGU